rnacentral:rRNA from 1 species
CAGUCGCCGCGGUAAUACAGAGGGUGCGAGCGUUAAUCGGAUUUACUGGGCGUAAAGCGUGCGUAGGCGGCUUUUUAAGUCGGAUGUGAAAUCCCUGAGCUUAACUUAGGAAUUGCAUUCGAUACUGGGAAGCUAGAGUAUGGGAGAGGAUGGUAGAAUUCCAGGUGUAGCGGUGAAAUGCGUAGAGAUCUGGAGGAAUACCGAUGGCGAAGGCAGCCAUCUGGCCUAAUACUGACGCUGAGGUACGAAAGCAUGGGGAGCAAACAGGAUUAGAUACCCGUGUAGUCCCUGUCUCUUAACC